GCUUUCACUGAUGGCAACUGGCUUAAGAUGCAUCUUGCAAGUGCAUAAGCUUCGGGAGAGUUACGGCAGUAACUACU
rnacentral:tRNA from 1 species